ACAGUGGCGGUUCAGUGGUGGAAUUCUCGCCUUUCAUGUGGGAGACCCGGGUUCCAUUCCCGACCAAUGCA
rnacentral:tRNA from 1 species